CCGGGCUACACACGUGCUACAAUGGGCGGUACAAAGAGCAGCGAGCUCGCGAGAGUAAGCAAAUCUCAAAAAGCCGUCCUCAGUUCGGAUUGGAGUCUGCAACUCGACCCCAUGAAGUUGGAAUCGCUAGUAAUCGCGGAUCAGCAUGCCGCGGUGAAUACGUUCCCGGGCCUU
rnacentral:rRNA from 1 species